rnacentral:rRNA from 1 species
CUUGCUGCUUCGCUGACGAGUGGCGGACGGGUGAGUAAUGUCUGGGAAACUGCCUGAUGGAGGGGGAUAACUACUGGAAACGGUAGCUAAUACCGCAUAACGUCGCAAGACCAAAGAGGGGGACCUUCGGGCCUCUUGCCAUCGGAUGUGCCCAGAUGGGAUUAGCUAGUAGGUGGGGUAACGGCUCACCUAGGCGACGAUCCCUAGCUGGUCUGAGAGGAUGACCAGCCACACUGGAACUGAGACACGGUCCAGACUCCUACGGGAGGCAGCAGUGGGGAAUAUUGCACAAUGGGCGCAAGCCUGAUGCAGCCAUGCCGCGUGUAUGAAGAAGGCCUUCGGGUUGUAAAGUACUUUCAGCGGGGAGGAAGGGAGUAAAGUUAAUACCUUUGCUCAUUGACGUUACCCGCAGAAGAAGCACCGGCUAACUCCGUGCCAGCAGCCGCGGUAAUACGGAGGGUGCAAGCGUUAAUCGGAAUUACUGGGCGUAAAGCGCACGCAGGCGGUUUGUUAAGUCAGAUGUGAAAUCCCCGGGCUCAACCUGGGAACUGCAUCUGAUACUGGCAAGCUUGAGUCUCGUAGAGGGGGGUAGAAUUCCAGGUGUAGCGGUGAAAUGCGUAGAGAUCUGGAGGAAUACCGGUGGCGAAGGCGGCCCCCUGGACGAAGACUGA